GGUUUGGUGAUGGACCAACCAGACUCUCAAGACUGCCAUGGACAAGUCCCUUGAUUGGUACCAGGAAGGGUGGGAGAACAACCUGAAGAGUUACCUCGGUUGAAGCCAACAAUCUUCCCCAGUUGGAGCAGUUGGACGGUCGAUCACUGAAAGCACUGACGCCCUACACUUCAAAGAAGCCCAAUAGAAAAAGACAGACUGUCCGAGCCCCCCAGGAGGUAUCCCACCCACCAGUGAGUUUGGAUCAGUCUGAUUCUCUGUGCUCUGAGUCGGAGGGGGA